AUUGAACGCUGGCGGCAGGCCUAACACAUGCAAGUCGAGCGGUAGAGAGGUGCUUGCACCUCUUGAGAGCGGCGGACGGGUGAGUAAUGCCUAGGAAUCUGCCUGGUAGUGGGGGAUAACGUCCGGAAACGGACGCUAAUACCGCAUACGUCCUACGGGAGAAAGCAGGGGACCUUCGGGCCUUGCGCUAUCAGAUGAGCCUAGGUCGGAUUAGGUAGUUGGUGAGGUAAUGGCUCACCAAGGCUACGAUCAGUAACUGGUCUGAGAGGAUGAUCAUUCACACUGGAACUGAGAGACGGUACAGACUGCUACGGGAGGCAGCAGUGGGGAAUAUUGGACAAUGGGCGAAAGCCUGAUCCAGCCAUGCCGCGUGUGUGAAGAAGGUCUUCGGAUUGUAAAGCACUUUAAGUUGGGAGGAAGGGUACUUACCUAAUACGUGAGUAUUUUGACGUUACCGACAGAAUAAGCACCGGCUAACUCUGUGCCAGCCGCCGCCGUAAGAC
rnacentral:rRNA from 1 species